AACGAACGCUGGCGGCAGGCUUAACACAUGCAAGUCGAGCGCCCCGCAAGGGGAGCGGCAGACGGGUGAGUAACGCGUGGGAAUCUACCCAUCUCUACGGAAUAACGCAUGGAAACGUGUGCUAAUACCGUAUACGUCCUUCGGGAGAAAGAUUUAUCGGAGAUGGAUGAGCCCGCGUUGGAUUAGCUAGCUGGUGGGGUAAAGGCCUACCAAGGCGACGAUCCAUAGCUGGUCUGAGAGGAUGAUCAGCCACACUGGGACUGAGACACGGCCCAGACUCCUAAGGGAGGGAGCAGUGGGGAAUAUUGGACAAUGGGCGCAAGCCUGAUCCAGCCAUGCCGCGUGAGUGAUGAAGGCCCUAGGGUUGUAAAGCUCUUUCACCGGUGAAGAUAAUGACGGAAACCGGAGAAGAAGCCCCGGCUAACUUCGUGCCAGCCGCCGCGGUAACAC
rnacentral:rRNA from 1 species